rnacentral:rRNA from 1 species
UAAACAGCUGCUCGACAAAUCUGUCAGCGUUAUUGCUUAUACUUUAAAAGACUUGACGGUACUUCACACCAACCUAGAGGAGCCUGUCUAAUAACCGAUAACCCACGAUUAACCCAACCUACCCUAGCCCAAUCAGUCUAUAUACCGCCGUCGCCAGCUUACCUUAUGAAAGAAACAAGGUGGGCCUAUUUAUAAUACAUUAACACGACAGGUCGAGGUGUAACUAAUGAGUAGGAUAAGAUGGGCUACAAUUUCUUAAUCCAGAAAAAACGAAUAGACGAUGAGACUAGAAACUGAAGCGGAUUUAGCAGUAGGCUAAGAACAAACAUGCCUAGCCGAAGAUAAC